GUGUACGGACAAACCAGCUGAAGAAUGCCCAAUCUUUUCUGAUCUCAGAAGCUAAGAAGGCUUGGGCCUGGUUAGUACUUGGAUGGGAGACUACAUGGGAAUACCAGGUGCUGUAAGCU
ensembl:rRNA 5S_rRNA 5S ribosomal RNA